rnacentral:rRNA from 1 species
UGUAGCGUAAUCAAUAGCCAAUUAAUUGUUGGCCGGUAUGAAUGGCAUCACGAAGGCCCCACUGUCUUAAGAGGACUCUCCAUGAAAUUGAAAUCGUAGUGAAGAUGCUACGUCCAUAUUGUAAGACGAAAAGACCCCAUUGAGCUUUACUAAAGACUUGUAUGGCUCGAAAUAACUUAAAUAAAAAGUUUAGAUAAUGUGGGAUCCGUUUUGGUUAAUGAAACACCACUCUUUUAUUUUAAGAGAGCUAACCUUGUAGGGAGAAUGCAAGUUGGAUAGUUUGGUUGGGGCGACCACCUUUUAAAAGGUAACGAAGGUGAGCUUAAGGUCCGUAGUUAAUAGCUAGUGGCCUGACUGCAAGGGGGACAUCCCGAGCAGACACUGGUAAUCUCUCAGUGGGUUAUAGUGACCCGUAUCUUAGAGUGGAAUAGUUGACGAUCAACGAAUAAAAGCUACCAUGGGG